GUGGGGAAUAUUGCACAAUGGGCGAAAGCCUGAUGCAGCAACGCCGCGUGAGUGAUGAAGGUCUUCGGAUUGUAAAGCUCUGUCUUUUGGGACGAUAAUGACGGUACCAAAGGAGGAAGCCACGGCUAACUACGUGCCAGCAGCCGCGGUAAUACGUAGGUGGCGAGCGUUGUCCGGAUUUACUGGCGUAAAGGGUGCGUAGGCGGAUGUUUAAGUGAGAUGCGAAAUACCCGGGCUUAACUUGGGUGCUGCAUUUCAAACUGGAUAUCUAGAGUGCAGGAGAGGAGAAUGGAAUUCCUAGUGUAGCGGUGAAAUGCGUAGAGAUUAGGAAGAACACCAGUGGCGAAGGCGAUUCUCUGGACUGUAACUGACGCUGAGGCACGAAAGCGUGGGUAGCAAACAGGAUUAGAUACCCUGGUAGUCCACGCCGUAAACGAUGAGUACUAGGUGUAGGAGGUAUCGACCCCUUCUGUGCCGCAGU
rnacentral:rRNA from 1 species